CUCGCACUGGGCUGGCUUGGGGGCUACUGGCCCCUUUCGGUCCCCGUCCCGCUCCCGGAGGCGGGAGCCCGCGGCGGCCGGAGCCUUCUCGGGACCCAUGGUCGCCCACAGUCAACCGGCCUGCUCCCGGGACCGCGACAAGAAUGAGACAACAGAGGAAGUGACUUCAGAGCAAGAGGAAGAAGAGGACACAGCUGAAGAUAAUGAACAAGGGACCACAGCUUUGAGGGAAAUCUAGAAAGGUAAGAGACUGGACUUUGGAGAUGUCAGAUUAGGACAGGUGAAAAGCAGAUAUUCUAGGCUCCUGAAAGAACAUGGGAACAGGCCCAAAACAACCCUGGACAUGGUGUGUUUGGGUGCAUUGGAUGCUUUUCUUUUGAGAAGGAAGGUUGAUGUUUUGAAGUCAUGGAAAGUGUUCAAAAUAUUGUGAGAAUUACCAAAAUAUGACACAGAAACAUGAGUCGAGCACAUGCUGUUGGAAAAAAAUGGUGCUGAUCUUCUUGCUUAAUGUAGAGGUGCCAAAAACCUUCGAUUGUAAAACAAAACAAACAAAAAACAACAACAAAAAAGAAAAACUGCAAUAUCUACAGAGUGCAAUAAAGUGAAGCGCAAUAAAGUGAAGUAUGCCUGUAUGAAAGAUUAUGACAUCAGCGAACAAACAAUUAUAUGCCUUCCUUUCCAAUGUGUGUGCCAUUUAUUGGUCCUUGUUGCCUAAUCACUUUGGCUAGGACUUCUAUCUAGUACUAUGUUGGAAAAAAAAGGGGCUAGUAUGAGCAUCCUUGCCUUGUUCUUCGUAUUAGGAGGAAGGCUUUUUACCAUUAAAUAUGUUGGUGUGGGGUUGUCAUAAAUGGCCAUUGUUAAGUUGAAAUGUGUAUUUAUUUGUUUGUUUGUUUGUGUGUUUUAACUAGA